AAGAACCGCACUUCUCUGAUUGCUUCCAUAGUUCUGCAGCUUACGAAAGGUGAAGCCGCCCGCUGUCAAACCACAGCUGCUGUCACUGAAGGCCACACGUAGGUUCAUAAGUUCAUUCGAGCCAAUGUUACUGCCACUAGGGGGAGCUCUGAGCGCUGAGUGAAGCGGUGACGGUAAAGCAAGAUGUCUGCCUUCAGUCGGACCACGUUGGGAAUAUAGCAGCUCCAAAAACGUCUUCAAACAGCUCGCUUGAGGGGGCCUCCUAUGUCAACAUAGGGACCUCGGAGCAAAACCAAGCAACUAUCAGACACACAUUAUAAACUGUACUGGUUUCGAGGAGAGUUUAGGGUAGGGGCAUCGAUUACGAAACAAAACCUUAACUGAGGGUGUUUGGAUGUAACAAAAAAAGUUAAAUU